CUGUCCAGCUCUCACCACACUGUUCCCCCUCUAUAUCCAGCAUGAUUAGAUGGGGGCCACAGCUGGACGUACACUAACCCUGUCUGUUUAGGAGGGCCACACAGAGAAAUGUGCACUCCCUUAAAGGCUUGACUGGACAUU